rnacentral:rRNA from 1 species
UCGAGGAUCUUCCGCAAUGGGCGAAAGCCUGACGGAGCGACGCCGCGUGUGGGAUGAAGGCCUUCGGGUUGUAAACCACUGUCACCGGUUAUGAAAGGGUGUGGGGUCAAUAGCCUCAUGCACUGACAAAGGCCGGAGAGGAAGCCACGGCUAACUUCGUGCCAGCAGCCGCGGUAAGACGAAGGUGGCGAGCGUUGUUCGGAAUCACUGGGCAUAAAGCGCUCGUAGGCGGCGCUGCAAGUCGGGUGUGAAAUCCCUCGGCCUAACCGAGGAACUGCGCCCGAAACUGCAGUGCUUGAGGACCAAAGGGGUGCAUGGAAUUUCCGGUGGAGCGGUGAAAUGCGUUGAUAUCGGAAGGAACGUCGGCGGCGAAAGCGAUGCACUGGUUGGUUACUGACGCUGAGGAGCGAAAGCCAGGGGAGCAAACGGGAUUAGAUACCCCCGUAGUCC